UUAAUGUAAAAUGACUCUGUUUCUCUCCAUUCAAUCUCUGUCGUCUAGGUUUCCUAAUCUAUUAGUAGGGAAGAGGGUAAGGGUUAGUAUAUUAGUGUCUUAACGUGUUACCCCUACCCCCAGUCAUCUCUUUCAAUCAUUCAAAGCCCCGCCUAGCUCCGCCCUAAGCCAUCAUCCGCCUCCGCUGGGAAGUCGCCCAUGGAGGCGGCCAGUAACCAAUUCUUAUAAAAUUAACACCACAACUUCUCCUCAACCUCUUUAUCCCAAAUCCAUGCUCCACUCCUCUCAAAUCCAAUCAGAAAGUUUCGAAUCUUAAAAACCCUAGCGCCGCCACAAUUUCUCUAAUAGUAGCGCCACCACUAAUGGACCCCAAACUAACACCAAAGAAUCCCCAAGCCUUCCUCACCCCAAAUAUGCCACCCUUUUCCCUCGAAUCACCUUGGAACUUCUCAAAUUUCAAAUCAAAAUAAACCCCUAGUUCCCAAAGGCCCCUGUUCGAUUUGAAUGAUUUGGGUCCAUUUCGAUGUUACUCGUGUGUUCUUAGGUAUUUGUUUUCUUAACUUCAUCUCUUUUUUUAAAAUUUUCUUUUCUCAGCUCCAUCUUUUUUCUUCUUUUAUAUAUUAUGAUUCAUGUUUGUGAAAAUGAAAAAAUAAGACAGAAAAAUAUAUAUUGUUUGUUUAUUAGAAUACUACAUCAUUUAGACUUUUCUUUUAUUAAACCAUAAGUUAGUUGGUAAUAUCAAUUUGUUCUAGAUUCAUGACAUGUGUUGUUUUCUGCCUCUCUUUUCUUUGUUUUCCCUUUCAAAAUUGUAUAUGAUUUAGUUAGAAUGAUCUAGGGACUCUUAAUGUUCUUUUGAUUGUUCAUAUCGCCUAUAUUAGUACAAACCAAUAUGUUUGCUUCUGAGUUAGGCAGCCUUUUGAUUUUAUUUAAGACAAUUAGGUAUUCUGUUGAUGUUUGCUAUAAUUUGUAAAUCACUAGAUAGUUUGAGGAGGCUAAUUGAACAAAGAAACUUAGGGAAGAGGAACAAUUGAGUAAAUAGAAG
rnacentral:lncRNA from 1 species